AAUUAACGCUGGCGGCAUGCGUAACACAUGCAAGUCGUGCGAGAAACCCCGGUUCGCCGGGGGAGUACAGCGGCGCACGGGUGAGUAAUGCUUAGGAAUCUGCCUAUUAGUGGGGGACAACAUCUCGAAAGGGAUGCUAAUACCGCAUACGUCCUACGGGAGAAAGCAGGGGAUCACUUGUGACCUUGCGCUAAUAGAUGAGCCUAAGUCGGAUUAGCUAGUUGGUGGGGUAAAGGCCUACCAAGGCGACGAUCUGUAGCGGGUCUGAGAGGAUGAUCCGCCACGCUGGGACGGAAACACGGCCCAGACUCCUACGGGAGGCAGCAGUGGGGAAUAUUGGACAAUGGGGGGAACCCUGAUCCAGCCAUGCCGCGUGUGUGAAGAAGGCCUUAUGGUUGUAAAGCACUUUAAGCGAGGAGGAGGCUCUUUUGGUUAAUACCCAAGAUGAGUGGACGUUACUCGCAGAAUAAGCACCGGCUAACUCUGUGCCAGCCGCCGCUGUAACAC
rnacentral:rRNA from 1 species